rnacentral:rRNA from 1 species
GACGAACGCUGGCGGCGUGCUUAACACAUGCAAGUCGAGCGGUAAGGCCCUUCGGGGUACACGAGCGGCGAACGGGUGAGUAACACGUGAGUAACCUGCCCCUGACUCUGGGAUAAGCCGGGGAAACCCGGUCUAAUACCGGAUAUGACGUCCUGCCGCAUGGCGGGGUGUGGAAAGUUGUUUCGGUUGGGGAUGGACUCGCGGCCUAUCAGCUUGUUGGUGGGGUGAUGGCCUACCAAGGCGAUGACGGGUAGCCGGCCUGAGAGGGCGACCGGCCACACUGGGACUGAGACACGGCCCAGACUCCUGCGGGAGGCAGCAGUGGGGAAUAUUGCGCAAUGGGCGGAAGCCUGACGCAGCGACGCCGCGUGGGGGAUGACGGCCUUCGGGUUGUAAACCUCUUUUACCACUCACGCAGGCAUCCGGUUUUCCGGGUGUUGACGGUAGGUGGGGAAUAAGGACCGGCUAACUACGUGCCAGCAGCCGCGGUAAUACGUAGGGUCCGAGCGUUGUCCGGAAUUAUUGGGCGUAAAGAGCUCGUAGGCGGCCUGUCGCGUCUGCUGUGAAAGUCCGGGGCUUAACUCCGGGUGUGCAGUGGAUACGGGCAGGCUUGAGGUAGGUAGGGGGGACUGGAAUUCCUGGUGUAGCGGUGAAAUGCGCAGAUAUCAGGAGGAACACCGGUGGCGAAGGCGGGUCUCUGGGCCUUACCUGACGCUGAGGAGCGAAAGCGUGGGGAGCGAACAGGAUUAGAUACCCUGGUAGUCCACGCUGUAAACGUUGGGCGCUAGGUGUGGGGCCUUUCCACGGGUUCCGUGCCGUAGCUAACGCAUUAAGCGCCCCGCCUGGGGAGUACGGCCGCAAGGCUAAAACUCAAAGGAAUUGACGGGGGCCCGCACAAGCGGCGGAGCAUGUUGCUUAAUUCGACGCAACGCGGAAGAAUCUUACCAAGGUUUGACAUCGCCGGUAAACCGCUGGAGACAGUGGGUCCUUCAGGGAUCGGUGACAGGUGGAUGCAUGACUGUCGUCAGCUCGUGUCGUGAGAAUGUUCGGUAGUUCCCGCAACGAGCGCCAACCCUUGUCCAUGUUGCCAGCACGUUAUGGGUGGGGGAA